GCCCAGGUGGCGGAAUUGGUAGACGCGCACGGUUCAGGUCCGUGUGGCCGUGAGGUCGUGGAAGUUCGAGUCUUCUCCUGGGCACCA
rnacentral:tRNA from 5 species